CCGAGAAAAUGGUGUUCAAAGGAAAAAAACUAGAGAAAAUAUGUAAAUUAAAAACUAAUAAACAUAAGUGUGUUACCUUCACAAUCAAAACUAAACCCUAGAUUCAUCUGUUGCAAUUUAAUAUUUGACAUCGGUCAUGAAUUCUGAGUUUUAUCUUUUUGUAUAAACACAGUAGGCUUUAAACAAUCGGUCCAAUAAUAAGUUAGACCCAUUUAAUGGUUUCUACGUGUUGACUCGGUGACUCAUCUACCUCACAUCGCUAAUAUGGUGAUGGAGGUGAUCCCAUCGUCACGAUCAGCCGUUAUCAAAGGUUCUUACGUAGGCACAGGACAUAGUUACUAGGGGGUUCUUAAUGGUCUAACCACUGGUUCUGCAAUGUUUGAGCUGGUUGUAGACGAUUGAUAGGUGUCACUAGAGUAAGUAUGAUGGCGUGGAGGCAGAGAUGAACCAUUAGAAGAAGCGGAGUGAAGACUGGGAAUGGAACAGAGGGUCGCAGUUGCAAUCCAGAGAGUAUAAAAGAAAAGAGUCUAAGAGUAGAUAGGAUUAUGCUAUUAAUGAACAGUUUGGCCAUGGCGCAUGUCGUAUGAGCUUGGUGGUGAUCGACGACGUGAGAUCACUGAUCCGAUCGACAUCAGAGCGCGAUCCUUAUUGUUUGUAAUCCUUCUUCUCUAUCAAUAAAGUGUUCUUUGGAUCUCUACUCUAUCAACGGUAUAGCCACUAGUGUUGUUGACCUUAGCCCCGG
rnacentral:lncRNA from 1 species